UGGUUCCGCCCGGGAUCGAACCGGGGACCUUUCGCGUGUAAAGCGAACGUGAUAACCACUACACUACGGAACC
rnacentral:tRNA from 1 species